GACGAACGCUGGCGGCGUGCCUAAUACAUGCAAGUAGAACGCUGAAGGGGGACCUUGCUUCUCUGGCUGAGUUGCGAACGGGUGAGUAACGCGUAGGUAACCUGCCUGGUAGCGGGGGAUAACUGUUGGAAACGAUAGCUAAUACCGCAUAAUAGUAGAUGUUGCAUGACAUUCUCCUGAACGGUGCCUUUCAAUCACUACCAGGUGGACCUGCGUUGUAUUAGCUAGUUGGGGGGGUAACGGCUCACCAAGGCGACGAUACAUAGCCGACCUGGGAGGGUGGACGGCCACACUGGGAAUGAGACACGGCCCAGACUCCCUCGGGGAGGAACAGUAGGGGAAUUUCGGCAAUGGACGGAAGUCUGACCGAACAACGCCGGGGGAGUUGAGGAGGGUUUCCGGUCGGAAAGCUCUGUUGUAAGGGGAGAACGAGUGGUAGGGUGGAAAGUUCACGUUGUGACGGUAUCUUAACAGAAAGGGACGGCUAACUACGUG
rnacentral:rRNA from 1 species